GUAUUAGCUUGAUCUCAAAAUAAAAAACAUUCCCCGGAAGCUCGUUUGCCUGAAGAAGGUAAUAAUACACAGUAUGAUCUUGCGAGGGCAUGCAAACUAAACGCUCAUGAUAUUCCGAGAUAUCAACACGCGCACUAUUGUAAUCAUACGGUCCCGAUAUCUCAAAUGACCUUCGCCUCCCCUUGAUCUCAGCCGUCCAAAUCAUCUUACGGUUGAAGCUAGGGUUUCGCAGGAGCUGCGUCGAGCCGACACGUGCUGAAUAUCGACUUUUAGAGAGAGAGAGAGAGAGAGAAAUGGGUUUUAGAGAUGAAAAGAAGAGAGAGAAAUGGAUUUUUAGAGGGUGAGAUUGGGAUUUAAAGAGAGAGAGAGUGGCUUUAUCUGGAAGCAACCCACGCAGCGUUGCCUUGGCCUGAAGCGCACGGUCCCAUGAGGCCCACGUGGCCUUGCCACGGUCUCCACCCGCCAAGCGCGCUCAAUGAUUAGCCUCCCUUCCUUAGAGGGAGAAAGUUAGAGAGAGAAAGUAAAAAGAAAAAGAUAACGAGUUAGGUCUUAGAGAGAGAGAGAGAGAAAGAGAAACCCUAACGAGAGGAUGGAAACCCGGAAAAGAGCGCGAGAUGUGAACUACACAUUUAGAGAGAGAAAUUGGAGAUAGCUUAGUGGGAGUUAUCCUGAGAGAGAGAGAGAGAGUGAAGACCACAAAGCUUGAAACAGAGGUUGGAGAGGAUGGAGAGUGAUUAAUUGAAAUCCAGUAGGAGAGAGAACCCACCUCAACAACUGGAACCCCACAAGAGAGAGCCCGACCCCAACAACUGGAGAGAGUAAACCCCACAGAUCAGAGCAAGAGAGAGAGAAAUCUCAGGCUCAAUAGGAGAGAGAACCAAGACAGAAUAGGAAGCACCCAACGUAGUGUGAAACCCACAGGAAAAGAGAGAAAAACAGAGACCCACAUGAGCGAAACAUACUGAAACCCCAGAAGUGAGAUCAAACACAGGAGAGGAGAGAGGAGAGAGGAAUACACUGAAACCCCAGAAGUGAGAUCAAACACAGGAGAGGAGAGAGGAGAGAGGAAUACACUGAAACCCCAGAAGUGAGAUCAAACACAGGAGAGGAGAGAGGAGAGAGGAAUACACUGAAACCCCAAGAGACAGUAAGAUAUCAAGCAAAGGGGUGCGGAGAAGAGAGAAUAAAGAGGCGACCCCAAUCCCCAACCCAUCAAUCCAAAGGCCACCACCACCACCACCCCACCAAAAGAGAGAAGCAGUGUAGAGUGACGAUAAUUGUAGCCAGAGAAAAUCAGCAGCAGUGUGGAGAGACUGGAGAGAGAAACUGUAGAGAGAGAAAGCCACCAAGAACCACCAAAGGAGAGAAGCAGUCUAGAUAGAGAACUUAGAGAAAUAUCGUAGAGGGAGGAAAUCAGCUGCGGCCAGCCAUGUCUGCGGACGGCGCGGGCAACGGCUCCCUCUCCUCCUCCGACCAACAACAGCAACAGAGGCAGCACCAUCACCAUCAAAGCCAAGGGGCGCAGCAUCAUCACCAUCAAAACCAGGGGGGCGCAUCAUCAAAUGUUCUCUCUGUAAAGAAGGCCCCGUCCAAGGAUCGCCACUCCAAAGUGGACGGACGGGGCCGCCGCAUUCGCAUGCCGAUAAUAUGCGCUGCCCGUGUGUUCCAGCUAACCCGAGAGCUCGGCCACAAAUCGGACGGCCAGACGAUUGAGUGGCUUCUCCGCCAAGCCGAGCCGUCCAUAAUCGCGGCCACCGGCUCAGGGACGACUCCUGCAAACUUCUCCUCCGCCGCCUCCGCCACUGCCCCCAAGGACAUAAAUGUCUCUUUCAAGGACCACAAUUCCCAGGCUACCCCCGCGUUCAAGGACCAAAAUACCCCUUUCUUAUUGGGCAAGAGACUGAGGCUCGACGACACAAAAGACCAAAAUGCCCCUGUUGCACCCUCGGCGGGUGGCGCCGCCUUCUGGGCCUUGCCCUCGCGGCCGGAAUCUGGGCAAGUUUGGAGCUUUGGGCCGCCUGAAAUUUCGGCCAAUCGCUUGGGCAAUUAUUUGCCCAUAGGUCAGCCUUUAGUGGGGCAGGGGCAUUUAAAUUUACUUGCUGCCCUGUCAUCUGAGCCGUCGGCUUCUGGCCGCCGGGACGACGAUCACCGUUGAUUUCGUUUGGGGUUUUUCCGGCAGGUUUAGGCCGUUUUCCGGUUGUGGCGGGGUAGAGAAGGGGGUUGGGUGGUUUUAGGCUUUUGGGUGGUCGUUAUUUGUUUCUCUCUGUAUCUCUUAGGUUUGAUUAGAGAGAAAGGAGGGUUUGGUUUGUUGUUAUCACCAUAUUCUUGUGUCUCGCGCUCUCUCUCUCUGGGUGUAUGGAUCGUGCCCGCUCUUUCAAAUAGUCUUAUUGUAUUUGCACAAUAUUCUCUGAUCCAGCUGCCAUACACAGAAGAGAGAUGAGUGGUUCAUUCUGUUUGGACAGGCCAUGCUUAGGUGGUUGAAUUAUUGAUAUUUCUUUACUCUGACACCCAUUCUCAUAUGACAUUGCCUCCAUGAAGUAGAGGCUUUUAAGAUUUGAAUACAGAAAAUCCCAUAGAAUUCUCCAACCCUCAUAUGUAUUUAUUGUGUGUUAAGAAAAGGGGUGGAAAUAUCAGUGGUGCUUUCUUCUUUAUUAGCUUUUCAGUGGCUUCUUUUCUUUACUAUUUUUUGCUUUCCUUUUUUUUUGGAGAAGGGUAAGCUUAAGCAUGUUUUGAACUAAGUCAUGAGAUUUGACUUAAAUGGGUUCAUGCCAGUAAGCUAUGGGCUAGAACCCAAUUGACAUGGAAUCUUUUGAAAGCCUCAGCCUUAGCCUAGCCAUGGCUCUCCUUGUCUAGAGCCUUGGCAAAAUCUUCUUUUACACUUCAUUGACAGGGAAAUAUAACCUUGUUUUCUUUGUUAGAUUUUGCGUCCAAGAAAAAAACUAAACUUCUAAUUAGAAGACUCCUGAUCUAUUUAAUUUCGUAAAAUCCAAAUAUUGGAAAAUGCUUCUACGCUGAAGAAAAUCAUAGCAAACUAUCAAACCAUGUGCAUAAACCUCAGCACUUACUUAUAUAAGUAUACUCUGUAUGGUUUUGAGUUAUUUUUUUGUCGAAAUUUACUGCUACCAUGGCUACUGGG